rnacentral:rRNA from 1 species
AGAACGAACGCUGGCGGCGUGCCUCAGACAUGCAAGUCGAACGCGAAAGUCCCCUUCGGGGGAUGAUUAGAGUGGCGCACGGGUGAGUAACACGUAGGUAAUCUACCUUCGAGUGGGGAAUAACUCAGGGAAACUUGAGCUAAUACCGCAUAAUGCAGCGGCACCACAUGGUGACAGUUGUUAAAGCAUUUAUGCGCUUGAAGAGGAGCCUGCGGCAGAUUAGCUAGUUGGUAAGGUAAUGGCUUACCAAGGCUACGAUCU